rnacentral:lncRNA from 1 species
CAGAUUCUGAGGUGUAGAUGCUUUGACUUCUCUGAGGACAAAAUCUCCUACUUCAAAUCUGCGAAGCUUUACCCCCCUAUUAUAAUGCUUAGCCACUCUUCGCUGAUAGGCUGCCAAUUUGAUUAAGGCUGUUUCUCUGACUUCUUCAAGCAAAUCAAGAUUGGCCUUCAGCCCUUCUUCAUUGUAGAUCUCUCUGAAUUGACUAACUCGAAGACUUGGAGAUCCAAUUUCAACUAGGACUAAAGCAUCAGUGCCAUAGGCCAAUCUGAAAGGUGAAUCCCCUGUCG